CUAUAUCGCGACUCAGGGCAGCCUGGGAAUGCCUCCACGUUGGCACCGGAAUGCAUGGUUUCGGCCUGUGAAUUUUGAAUUAGCAGUUUUGGCAUAUGACGGAUUGUCUUCUGCUAGAGAGCCAUGUGAUUCAAUUAAACUUUGUCAAUUUUUGUGCCGAUAGAGACGCAUCUUGAGUUCAUUAGAAGCUAUCAUUUUCUUCCCAAAAUCGCCAAAUCCCUCUACCACAAAAUGAGCAGCAUUUCUUCAAUAAGAAAUAUCAGCAAACGCCACCUAUGUUCCAAUUUUUUUAUUGGAACUUCCCUUCCAAGCCUACAAUGGAGAUUCUACAGUCGCGCUCGCUCUCCUCAGCAAUUCACCAGAACCAUAAACCUCAAAGUCUCUCCCUUUCUCUAUACACCGUUUCCCUCGCAUCCCUUUUCCACUUUGAAUUCGAAAUCUAAAGUUGGAUUUAUAGGAUGGUAUUUGGGGAAGCUCGAUUCACGCCCAAUCCUGACGAAAACUAUCACAACUUCUCUUAUUUUCGCCGCUGCUGACUUGACCGCUCAGAUGUUGUCACCAUCAUCUGGAUCUGGUUCAUUUGACUUAAUAAGGACACUACGCAUGGCUGCAUAUGGGUUGCUGAUUUUAGGGCCAUCACAGCAUCUGUGGUUCAAUCUUAUGUCAAAAACUUUGCCAAAACGUGAUGUGUUGACUACCUUGAAGAAAACUUUUAUGGGACAGGCUAUUUAUGGACCUGCUAAUGCCAUUGUUUUCUUCUCCUACAAUGCAGCUUUACAAGGUGAAAGUGGUGAUGAGAUUGUUGCUAGAUUGAAGCGUGAUGUGCUCCCAACAUUGAGAAAUGGUCUUUUGUAUUGGCCAUUCUGUGAUUUUUUUACAUACAAAUUUGUUCCAGUUCAUCUACAGCCAUUGGUGAACAGUGUGUGUGCAUAUCUAUGGACAAUCUAUUUAACAUACAUGGCAAGCUUACAAAAAGUGAUCACCAGUUAAUCUUUAGAAUUUUACUUCAAAUCAUCCACAGCUUGUACGCACUAUGAGUUAGCUAAAGAAAGAGGAGAAGAACCUGACUGGUGCGACCCAUCUUGCUGGUUCUAGAUUAAUCAUUAAUAUUAAAUUCAUAAAGAAACUGAUUAUCUA
rnacentral:misc_RNA from 1 species